GAUGAACGCUGGCGGCGUGCCUAAUACAUGCAAGUCGAGCGAACAGACGAGGAGCUUGCUCCUCUGACGUUAGCGGCGGACGGGUGAGUAACACGUGGAUAACCUACCUAUAAGACUGGGAUAACUUCGGGAAACCGGAGCUAAUACCGGAUAAUAUAUUGAACCGCAUGGUUCAAUAGUGAAAGACGGUUUUGCUGUCACUUAUAGAUGGAUCCGCGCCGCAUUAGCUAGUUGGUAAGGUAACGGCUUACCAAGGCAACGAUUCGUAGCCGACCUGAGAGGGUGAUCGGCCACACUGGAACUGAGACACGGUCCAGACUCCUACGGGAGGCAGCAGUAGGGAAUCUUCCGCAAUGGGCGAAAGCCUGACGGAGCAACGCCGCGUGAGUGAUGAAGGUCUUCGGAUCGUAAAACUCUGUUAUUAGGGAAGACCAAAUGUGUAAGUAACUAUGCACGUCUUGACGGUACCUAAUCAGAAAGCCACGGCUAACUACGUG
rnacentral:rRNA from 1 species